rnacentral:rRNA from 1 species
UACGUAGGGUCCGAGCGUUAAUCGGAAUUACUGGGCGUAAAGCGUGCGCAGGCGGUUUUGUAAGACAGAUGUGAAAUCCCCGGGCUUAACCUGGGAAUUGCAUUUGUGACUGCAAGGCUAGAGUGUGUCAGAGGGGGGUAGAAUUCCACGUGUAGCAGUGAAAUGCGUAGAGAUGUGGAGGAAUACCGAUGGCGAAGGCAGCCCCCUGGGAUAACACUGACGCUCAUGCACGAAAGCGUGGGGAGCAAAC